UUUUGUUUACAGCAGAGAUGGUAGCUAUCCUUAUGGCAUUAGAGUGGGUAUAUGAAGUAAGACCGGAUAAAGUAAUAAUAUGCUCUGACUCAAUGGCAGCUCUUAUGAGUUUACAAUCAUGGCAAUCAAAUAGAAAAGACAUUUUAAUAGAAAUCAUGAUUACACUAUAUAGUAUUAAACAGAUAGGGAUAAUUACUCGGUUUAUAUGGGUACCUGCACAUGUGGGGAUUCAAGGUAAUGAAGAGGUAGAUAAAAUGGCUAAAGAAUCCUUAAAUAUGGAUGAUCCAAGUAUAAAUAUUGCACUCAGCAGAAUAGAAGGGAAACAGUUAAUAUUAAAUGCAUGCAAUAUUGUAUGGCAGAUAUACUGGGACUCAUGUCAAACAGGUAGGCAUUAUCGCAAAGUAAGUAUAAAGAGAAGAAAAAUCAUUCAUAACAUAAGUAGAAGGGAACAAGUCAUUUUAACACAUAUACGAACAGGACACUCAAAUCUUAACCAAACACUAUACAUUAUAGGGAAACAUAAUACUGGUCUAUGUAAUGUUUGUUUAACAGAGGAAUCAGUGGAACACGUUAUGAUGGUAUGUACAGCAUAUGAAAGAGAAAGAGAUCGACUUAAAGAUGAAUUACAAUCCUUAGGAGUUAAAGAAUUUUCAUUAAGUAGUAUCCUGAAUGAUGGUCCAAAUGCAGGAAAACAAAUAAGUGCAAUCAUGAGAUUUCUUAAGAAUUGUGGAAUAAUGAACAGAAUUUAAGAUUUAGGUGAGUACAUUCUCUUCACACUCCAUCACAGUAGGUGGCGGUAUGCACCUAUGAAGUUGGUUCGCAACCCGCCAUAAAACCAAAAGAAGAAGAAUAAGAAGAGAUUUCUCUCUUUCAAUCGGACUGGGGACAAAAUGGUGAGUGAUCGACUCCCCUUCACGAUCCAACCUAGAUCAGAGUCAUCCAUCCGUUUUUGAACACAUGCUAUUCCGUAUAUUGUGCAUAAAAGGUAAGCGAAUGAUUUGCUGUGGUUAUGGAGUGUAACUUAACCGCAGCGCCUGAGUAUUUUGCACGUGGUAAGUGAUCGACCGUAGGGG
rnacentral:lncRNA from 1 species